CUCACAGGAAGUUGCCAACUCAGCCUGACAGGUGUUCAUUCUGUGCCUGGUGUAUAAAUUAAACUUGACGGGAGAUAUGUAGAAACAGGAAGAAAGAUAAUAUCCAUAGGAUUCUGCACUAUCCAAGCCAUCCACCAGAGAGUCGUGGGAUGCAGUUCCUGUGGAGAAGGGAAGAUUGCUGCAUAUAUUGGUACAUCCAUGCCUAGUGCACCAGGAGGCCAGAAGAGUACGGUACCCUGAAACUAAAGUGACCAGUUGGGAGCGAUCAUUCCAUCGGUGGGAAUCCAACCUGGGUCCUCUGCAAAACGAGGUGUCAAAAACUAGAGAGACCUCACUUUAGUGUCUGGGUUUCUGACUUCUCUGGGAAAAUGAGCUGCUCCUGUCAUAUUCGUUCCGCUCCUGUCAUAUUCGUCCCUUUCACCGGAUGACGACAACCAACCAGGCCUUAGUAGGCAGAGUCUGAGACUGUUCUCCCUUGGGCCACAGCCCGGCCGCGCCCCCCCACUCCCAGCUCCUUUCUGGGUCCCAGCGCGGAGGCCAAGGCUUCAUUCCCAUUUGUUACUGCUACCCUUGAAAGCUUCGUGGAAAUGAAGUCAUCCUAAUAACUAUGUUUCUGUCGAGACGGAAAUUAAAUGUCUCUUAAUUCAAA